rnacentral:lncRNA from 1 species
CUGGUCCGUGCAUCAGCCGCUGCAGCGGGGAGGGGGAAGGAUGGGGGGGGGAGGGCAGUGUGGAGGGUGUGUUCUCAGGCCAGCACCAAUCUACGUUGGCUAGAGCAGAUCACAGACUUUAAUAUCUUGAACUCCGUGUUUUUCUUAACCCUUUUGGCAUUUGCUUAUUUUUCCCUCAAUUCCACGAUUCAUACCCUCAAUUACACUUGCAUGUACCAUCAAAACAGUCCCCCCCCCUCCCUUCAAAACCCACAAAUCAAACAGUACAGUUCUUCACUUUCCACAGACACCCAGCACUUGGUCUCACAAUGAGGAUACUGAAUUACAAAAACUUAGUGGUCCCACUACUUCCUUUACGAUCCCAGUUUCUUAUUCAAUAUCCCCCUUGGCUCACCAGCAACGUCUCUUCAGUGAGCCAAACUACAACCCAGGGGGUCUUCUCGGUAUCUCUUUAGUCCUCCCUUGUACCACAGCAGCUUCUUAGAUAACACUUCCACAGCAUAAACAUUUAACACUCACAAAGACAGUGACAACAACCAGUACAGUUUAUCCUCGGGAUCCUUCCUCUCCCCACCUCCCCCCAGGGCCCAACCUUCCUUCGGUGUUCCAUUCCCACUCUUGCACAGCUGCCCACCUAAUCCUGCCUCUUUCUUGUCCAGUAAACAACACACCCAUGAUAAACGUCACUUCCAUCCCUGAGUAGAACUUAGGCCCCAGGAAUUGAUCUAAUUGCUCUGCUUCUCUUGUAGGAUCUUCCCUCGUUGAUAUCUAAUUCCCCCUUUUCCACAUCUAAUGCAGAAAACGCAUUCUAUUCCUACACUAACUACUGUGCCUGGCAGUAUCCCUCCCUCCUCACCUUGGUCAUUUUUGCAGGAUGAAACCUUACACUCAGAAGACAUCAGAAGCUCCUUGUGUGGGCUGUAGCUUCUCUGCUCCUCCUCUCCUGUGGGUUUCAUGCUCCAGCAGGGACCGUGCAGGGAUACACAGCAGCAGCACUGCAGCCAGGAGGUGUGUGCAUCAGCAGCAACGCGGGCAGUCCAAAGCCCUAGCACCGCUAGUUGCAGGCCGCCAGCCAGACUCAGCACCACUGAUGACAGCCAGCUGAGCUUGCUGAAGACGAGGUACGCAACCUCCACUGCUCUCUGCCCAUCUGCCCAGCCACUGGUGACAUCCGAGAAAGCUACCAGCUUGGCUCAGCAUGAUCUCCCCUGGGAGAACCCAAGAGCAAACCUAGAUCCAAAAUCUCUGAUGAGCACCACGAGAACUCGUUUCGAAUUGCA